AUGCAGGUGCGGAUCACACUUUUGUUCAUCGAUGCCCCUCACUACUCUAUCGUGAACUACAAGAAGUUGCUCUACACUAUUGGUUACCGGCCCCCGCUUGUCUGGCUACCCCGGUGCCUAUCUUAUGGUUCAGGGUGGGGCGGUGGUGAAUGGCGGUGGUGGGGGGCGGUGGUGCGGCGGUGGUGUGGGGAUUCGGCGGAGAAAAAAGUGGGUGCGGCGGGGCCUAGAGAGAUGGCUGGGGCGGUGGGAGACUGGCGGUGGGGGGUGGUUCUGGGGAGGGCGGGGCGGCGAGGGCCGGCGGUCCGGCCGGUGGUCCGUGGCGGCGGCUGGGUAGAGAUUUGGGGGUCCAGCUUCCUACUCAAACGCGCGAAGCGUCGCGCCUCUGAAUUCCACUCGCGAUCACUGCAGUCCCAGGCCCCGCAUUUCCUUCAAAACCUAAGGACGCACAAGCAUUUGCCGCCUCGCCCACUUCGCCCAGACCAAGGGCAGCGCUCGAUCCUACCGCAGCCGUCGUACGCCAGCAGCGGGCGCAUCAACCCUGCCUGCGUCGCGAUGGAGGACGCCGGCGCCAUUGACCCGAAGCCGAGGGACCGCCGUCACGAGGAGCCCGAGCCACCACGUUCGCUAGACGUCCAGCGCCGCGGACGUGACGAUGCAAGGGUAUUGUCCCCGCGCUCAACGAAGAAGAGGAAUACUGGCAAGCACCGCCGAUCAAACCGCCGACGGCACGACGGCCCCCGUCGCGUGUCCCCCGAUAUGGCGAUAAAGAUGGACAGUGUCCCGAUGGCCGGACAGGCGGCCGGCGGCACGGCCAUGAUCCAGGAGGGCGAGGGCGAGCAGCAUACCAGCAAGAGAACAAGCAGCUCGGAUCCUUGCAACCCCCAAGCGGAACAACAGCUUUCGGGCAAGGCCAUCGCAGGACCACGUGCUGUUUCACUGGACGGCGGGCCGCUGCAGGAGGACACGGAGAGUUUAGAGGAGGGCGAACUGCCAAGGGCAGAGACCAAGCGAAAGAGAGAGGAGGCCCGCCCGGAGAUGGACAAGGGGAUGAUCAAGAAGCGCCGCAUGAUCAAGAAGCAGCAGGAACCCACAGCGACGGCAACCUCCCAGUCUCUGUGCCUGAUGGGAGGCAGCUUUGUCUUUGGUUCGGUGUUUGUGUUAGCUAUCUCUGUCUUGUUCCGGCGGUGCUUCUACGAUGAUUGCAUCAUCCCAAGUUUGUUUCCGGUGAGGCAACGUUGUGAUCGAUACGUUGCUGAAGCUCGUCUAAGAAGAAGGGCUCCAUUGCAACCUAGAACGUGUGUCUGGGUCUUCAAAUUUGUUUAUGUCCCAAGUUGGGCCCAGCGUCAUACUCAAACGCGCGAAGCGUCGCGCCUCCGAACUCCACCCCGCGUUCACUGCAGUCCCUCCCAGGCCCCGAAUUUCCUUCAAAACCUAUGGACGCACAAGCAUUUGCCGCCUCGCCCACUUCGCCCAGACCAAGCGCAGCGCCCGAUCCUCCCGCCGCCGUCGUACGCCACCAGCGUGCGCAUCAACCCUCCCUGCGUCGCGAUGGAGGACGAGGUUCGGGCGGCCCGCACCACGGCCAUGGUCCAGGAGCGCGAGGGCGAGCAGGUAACCAACAAGAGAACAAGCAGCUCGGAUCCUUGCAACGCCCAAGCGGAACAACAGCUGCCGGUCGCGGCCGUCGCAAGACCGCGUGCUGUUUCACUGGACGGCGGGCCGCCGCAGGAGGAAACGGAGAGUUUAGAGGAGGGCGAACUGCGAAGGGGAGAAACCAAGCGGAAGAGAGAGGAGGCCCUCCCGGAGAUGGACAAGGGGAGGAUCAAGAAGCGCCGCAUGACCAAGAAGCAGCAGGAGUCCGCAGCGACUGCAACGUCAAGGCCAUCAGGGACGAAUGCUCAGGAUCCCUCUGCCCCGCAGGAUCCCCUGCGCGCGGCCCUUGCCGUGGCUCGCCAAACCCAAGCUAGGCGGGAUCAGAACAAGAAGAAGAGGGAGGAGGCUCGCCGAGAGAGGGACAAGGUGGUGCAGACCGUCUUCUUCAACGACCCUUACAUAUCUCCGUCGGACUUCGAGAGCUGA
rnacentral:rRNA from 1 species